rnacentral:rRNA from 1 species
CUGCUGCCUUCCGUAGGAGUUUGGACCGUGUCUCAGUUCCAAUGUGGGGGACCUUCCUCUCAGAACCCCUACGCAUCGUCGGCUUGGUGGGCCGUUGCCCCACCAACUACCUAAUGCGCCGCAUGCCCAUCCGUGACCGGGGUCGCCCCUUUGGCCGGCAGGGGAUGUCCCCUCCCGGCAUUAUGUUGUAUUAGGCGGGAUUUCUCCCGGUUAUCCAUCUGUCACGGCCAGGUUGCAUACGUGUUACUCACCCGUGCGCCGGUCGCCGGCGG